rnacentral:rRNA from 1 species
GAUGAACGCUGGCGGCGUGCCUAAUACAUGCAAGUCGAGCGAACAGACGAGGAGCUUGCUCCUCUGACGUUAGCGGCGGACGGGUGAGUAACACGUGGAUAACCUACCUAUAAGACUGGGAUAACUUCGGGAAACCGGAGCUAAUACCGGAUAAUAUAUUGAACCGCAUGGUUCAAUAGUGAAAUACGGUUUUGCUGUCACUUAUAGAUGGAUCCGCGCCGCAUUAGCUAGUUGGUAAGGUAACGGCUUACCAAGGCAACGAUGCGUAGCCGACCUGAGAGGGUGAUCGGCCACACUGGAACUGAGACACGGUCCAGACUCCUACGGGAGGCAGCAGUAGGGAAUAUUCCGCAAUGGGCGAAAGCCUGACGGAGCAACGCCGCGUGAGUGAUGAAGGUCUUCGGAUCGUAAAACUCUGUUAUUAGGGAAGAACAAAUGUGUAAGUAACUAUGCACGUCUUGACGGUACCUAAUCAGAAAGCCACGGCUAACUACGUG